ensembl:lncRNA
GUUGGACAGGCUUCUUGCAGAGGUAGAUGGUUAACUGCUGAGAGAGUUCUGGACUGAGAAUCUGUUCCAGCAAACUGCAGCAGCAGAUGAAGCUGCUUUAGAGUCUUUUGCUGUACUGAAUGAUGUCUUGACUUGUGAGGAGCGUUAGGGCGGUGGAUAGAGCUCUCAAUCUGAUUGUGAAUUGGGACAAAUGAUUUGUAGCUUAAAGGUGGUGAGUUUAGGGGUCACAAGAUUGUGUUUGGGUCAAGUCAGAGGUGGAAGAGACUGGACACCAAGUUUGUUGUUGGAUCUUGAAAGGAAAGGAUCAUGGUGGUUUUGCCGAGUGUGGGCUUGGUGAUUUGAGUUGGGCUGUGUGUGAGGGUCUGAAGAGCUACAUUUAUUGUUUGUCUUCCAAGCCUACAAGAUGAGAGUGGGGGUGAUCGUGGUCAGCCUGCUAGUAAAUGAUGAAGAGCCAACAGCCUGAGAGAGGUUGUUAUUAGCAGUAACAUGGGGAGCGUUAACACCCUCAAGGAGAUGUACAGGUGCAAAGGCUUCCAAAUGCCUUCCACAGAGAUAAAAUCCUACCUACCUGCUUCACUGUCACUGCACCAUGAAUCUGAAUUAUCUUGACUUCUAAUCUGUGAAAUACAG